GGGCUCCUCUGCUCCUCCUGCAAGGAAACACAGACACGGCCCUCACAGUGGAAAUGAUGCCCUCAGUUUCAGCUUGCUUAUUUUCUUAUUUUCUUUCUUAUUUCUUAUUCUUUUCUUUCUUAUUUUCCAGAUCCUGCGGUACAAAACUCUGAACUUCACAUCCAGUGUGAGCCAGUUCUCCCAGCUCAGUCACACCAAACAAUCCUUCUGCAGCCCCAGGACCAAGGGCACCGCUGCAGCCUCAGGCCCAAAAGUGCAAACAGCAGGAACUGAGGGGAGCAAACUGGGAGGAUGGGACUGCAUCCCCUGAAGUGUAACUGGACAGUGAACCCCAAAGUGUGGAUGGACCAAAAUUUAGAAAAGUGUGAAAACUCCUGACUCUGGGUCCAUCUUGGGUGGAGCCAUGGCCAGGCUCUUGCACUGCCCAAGAUCAGCUGGGCGUUAUCAGUGGGAGGAACAAUUAUUGUGUCAAGGUAAAUCGAAGGAGCAGAGAAGUGACAGCCCUAAAAAAGCCAUCCCUUCUGUGGAGUGGAAAUGCCAGGGCAGGAACCGCCGGAGAACACCGAGAACCUCCCCGUGUUUGGGCAGAAGGAAAAUCCCGGAUUCCCAGGAUUACUCACGUGCCAAGCACAGAGCUGCCAGCGCCAGGAGCGCCCAGAUUAUUUCCAGGGCACAAGGAGAGGAAUGAAGGAAGAGAGGCCCGCGGACUGACUGACACAUUAAUUAUGAUGUUCUUGGAUGGAUGGAGAAUGUCAAAAAGUGAUCUCCUGUGUGUGGAGCCACCAUAGUGAAUAUUUUGUGGUUUUUAUCGAAUCUAGACCGAGAUGGGAGCCUGACAAUUCCCGGAGGAGACAUUCACAGGCAAAUGGAUAACUGGGGGUCAAAGCCAUCCUUCUGCCCUAGAGAGCAGCCACCUGACAGGGGGGCAGUUCCAAGCUGAGCUUUGUUAUUUUCUGAAUAAACUCAGCCUGUGGCUUCCCCCUCUGGAUGCUCCCAGAUGCUGCUGCCACACCCUGGGCCCUGGCCUGGUCAUCCUGUGCAGCUUUACAGGCUGGGGAUUUGGUAUUAUUAAUUAGUAAUAAUUAAUUUGUCCUGCAGACAUUGAGACAGAAAUAGUGUCUGAUCCUUUGGCACAAAAGUGAAGAGUGACACAAACUAUUCUUUAAAGAUCACAAAUAAGCCAUAUUUUCUUGCUUUCAGUGUAUUUAUUAUUAACUCCUUUGUAAACAAGCACAUACGUUGCCUUUAUAGCUAAAAUAAGACAUGUAAACUUAAUAAAUAGUAUCAGGACCUGUAAAUGCAUUAUCAGCAGUUUUCUGAAAUAUCAGAUACUUCUUUUUAAAAAUUUAAACAUUUUCAAUGUUUAAAUAUUUUAAAUUAUCACCCAUCGCUAAGACUGGGGAAAAGGAAGCAUGGUUGCAAUGAGAGGCUUUAAUGUCAGUGAUUCUGUAUCAGGGGUUAAGGAUAUUGCAGAGAAUUUUGCCCUCCUGGAAGUCAGGAGUUCUGACAGGAUCCAUCCCUGGCAGUGCCCAAGGCCAGGCUGGAUGGAGCUCUGACCAUCCUGGGCCAGUGGGAGGUGUCCCUGCCCAUGGCAGGGGUGGCACAGAUGAGCUUUAAGGUCCUCCCAACCCAAACAAUUCCAGGAUUCCAUGAAAACACCAAGGUGUCAACCCAUGCUUCAUUUCCUCCCAGAGCUGGGCGCUCACUCUGUCAGCAGCUCAGGGGAGUUUUCCCUGAGAUUCUGUGGACACACAUUGCAAAGGGGGGAUG